GAUGAACGCUGGCGGCGUGCCUAAUACAUGCAAGUCGAGCGAACAGACGAGGAGCUUGCUCCUCUGACGUUAGCGGCGGACGGGUGAGUAACACGUGGAUAACCUACCUAUAAGACUGGGAUAACUUCGGGAAACCGGAGCUAAUACCGGAUAAUAUAUUGAACCGCAUGGUUCAAUAGUGAAAGACGGUUUUGCUGUCACUUAUAGAUGGAUCCGCGCCGCAUUAGCUAGUUGGUAAGGUAACGGCUUACCAAGGCAACGAUGCGUAGCCGACCUGAGAGGGUGAUCGGCCACACUGGAACUGAGACACGGUCCAGACUCCUAUGGGAGGCAGCAGUAGGGAAUCUUCCGCAAUGGGCGAAAGCUUGACGGAGCAACGCCGCGUGAGUGAUGAAGGUCUUCGGAUCGUAAAACUCUGUUAUUAGGGAAGAACAAAUGUGUAAGUAACUAUGCACGUCUUGACGGAACCUAAUCAGAAAGCCACGGCUAACUACGUG
rnacentral:rRNA from 1 species